rnacentral:rRNA from 1 species
GACGAACGCUGGCGGCGUGCUUAACACAUGCAAGUCGAACGGAAAGGCCUGCUUUCCCUUGUGGAUUGCGGGUACUCGAGUGGCGAACGGGUGAGUAACACGUGAGUGAUCUGCCCCCAACUUGGGUAUAAGCCUGGGAAACUGGGUCUAAUUCCCGAUAGGACUGCAGGGUGGUGCCUGUGGUGGAACACGAUUUUCUAGUGGUUGGGGAUGAGCUCGCGGCCUAUCAGCUUGUUGGUGGGGUAAUGGCCUACCAAGGCGGCGACGGGUAGCCGGCCUGAGAGGGUGGACGGCCACAUUGGGACUGAGAUACGGCCCAGACUCCUACGGGAGGCAGCAGUGGGGAAUAUUACACAAUGGGCGGAAGCCUGAUGCAGCGACGCCGCGUGGGGGAUGACGGCCUUCGGGUGGUAAACUCCUUUCGACCGCGAGGAAGCCACCUGGUUGGAAGGGUGGUGACGGUAGUGGUAGAAGAAGCACCGGCUAACUACGUG